rnacentral:sRNA from 1 species
CGACGACCAGGGCUUGCAGCUGGUGUACAGGACGGAGGUGGUGAAGAACAACCUGAACCCAGUGUGGGAGGCCUUCAAGGUCUCUCUGAGUUCCCUCUGCAGCUGCGAGGAGACAAGGCCUCUAAAGUGCCUGGUCUGGGAUUACGACUCUCGAGGAAAGCACGACUUCAUCGGAGAAUUCUCCACCACCUUCGAGGAGAUGCAGAAGGCCUUUGAGGAGGGGCAGGCCCAGUGGGACUGUGUGAACCCCAAAUACAAGCAGAAGAGACGCAGUUAUAAGAACUCAGGAGUGGUCGUCCUGGCUGACCUCAAGUUCCACAGGGUGUACUCCUUCCUGGACUAUAUCAUGGGCGGCUGCCAGAUCCACUUCACCACAAAACGUGAACGAGGAGAAGCUGGAGUGAGCGUUUGAGUGAACCAGCCACAGUCUCUACGUGUCAUCCAAGGAGCCCGGCACAGACCCCGUGUCACCCCCAUGUCACCCGCAGACCCCGCGUCACCCACAGAUACGCACACCCCGUGUCACCCCCACAGCACCCCCGUGUCACCC